AUUGAACGCUGGCGGCAGGCCUAACACAUGCAAGUCGAGCGAGCGGCGGACGGGUGAGUAAUGUAUGGGAAACUGCCCGAUGGAGGGGGAUAACUACUGGAAACGGUAGCUAAUACCGCAUACUAUCGGAUGUGCCCAGAUGGGAUUAGCUAGUAGGUGGGGUAACGGCUCACCUAGGCGACGAUCCCUAGCUGGUCUGAGAGGAUGACCAGCCACACUGGGACUGAGACACGGUCCAGACUCCUACGGGAGGCAGCAGUGGGGAAUAUUGCACAAUGGGCGCAAGCCUGAUGCAGCCAUGCCGCGUGUAUGAAGAAGGCCUUCGGGUUGUAAAGUACUUUCAGCGGGGAGGCGUUACCCGCAGAAGAAGCACCGGCUAACUCCGUGCCAGCAGCCGCGGUAAUAC
rnacentral:rRNA from 1 species